GCGGAGGAGCAUGUGGUUUAAUUCGAUGAUACGCGAGGAACCUUACCUGGGCUCGAACGUAAGAUGACUGUAGGUGAAAGCUUACAUCUCUUCGGAGCAUUUUACGAGGUGCUGCAUGGUUGUCGUCAGCUCGUGCCGUGAGGUGUCGGGUUAAGUCCCAUAACGAGCGCAACCCUACCUUUAGUUGCCAUCAGGUUAAGCUGGGGACUCUAAAGGAACUGCCUACGCAAGUAGUGAGGAAGGCGGGGAUGACGUCAAAUCAGCACGGCCCUUACGUCCAGGGCUACACACGUGCUACAAUGGCCGAUACAGAGGGCAGCUACCUGGUGACAGGAUGCAAAUCUCCAAAGUCGGUCUCAGUUCGGAUCGGAGUCUGCAACCCGACUCCGUGAAGCUGGAAUCGCUAGUAAUCGCGCAUCAGCCAUGGCGCGGUGAAUACGUUCCCGGGCCUU
rnacentral:rRNA from 1 species